GGCUGCGUGGUGUAAUGGCUAACACAUCAGUCCGGUCUACUGAAGAUGCUGGUUCGCUCCUCUUGCAGCAGCUA
rnacentral:tRNA from 1 species